rnacentral:tRNA from 3 species
GCGGUUGUAGCUCAGCUGGUUAGAGCGUCGGAUUGUGGCUCCGAAGGUCGGCGGUUCGAACCCGCCCAACCGUACCA